rnacentral:rRNA from 1 species
ACGGUAGCACAGAGGAGCUUGCUCCUUGGGUGACGAGUGGCGGACGGGUGAGUAAUGUCUGGGAAACUGCCCGAUGGAGGGGGAUAACUACUGGAAACGGUAGCUAAUACCGCAUAACGUCGCAAGACCAAAGAGGGGGACCUUCGGGCCUCUUGCCAUCGGAUGUGCCCAGAUGGGAUUAGCUAGUAGGUGGGGUAACGGCUCACCUAGGCGACGAUCCCUAGCUGGUCUGAGAGGAUGACCAGCCACACUGGAACUGAGACACGGUCCAGACUCCUACGGGAGGCAGCAGUGGGGAAUAUUGCACAAUGGGCGCAAGCCUGAUGCAGCCAUGCCGCGUGUAUGAAGAAGGCCUUCGGGUUGUAAAGUACUUUCAGCGAGGAGGAAGGCAUUGUGGUUAAUAACCGCAGUGAUUGACGUUACUCGCAGAAGAAGCACCGGCUAACUCCGUGCCAGCGGCCGCGGUAAUACGGAGGGUGCAAGCGUUAAUCGGAAUUACUGGGCGUAAAGCGCACGCAGGCGGUCUGUCAAGUCGGAUGUGAAAUCCCCGGGCUCAACCUGGGAACUGCAUCCGAAACUGGCAGGCUAGAGUCUUGUAGAGGGGGGUAGAAUUCCAGGUGUAGCGGUGAAAUGCGUAGAGAUCUGGAGGAAUACCGGUGGCGAACGCGGCCCCCUGGACAAAGACUGACGCUCACGUGCGAAAGCGUGGGGAGCAAACAGGAUUAGAUACCCUGGUAGUCCACGCCGUAACGAUGUCGACUUGGAGGUUGUGCCCUUGAGCGUGGCUUCCGGAGCUAACGCGUAGUCGACCGCCUGGGGAGUACGC